GAGGAGUAAGAAAGGGAGCCGGCUCGGCCCAGGCCUGCAGCCCGCACGGGAGAGCCCCCCGGGGGCGGGCCGCGGCGGCAUGCGGCUCCCCGUCCGGCUCGGCCCGCUCCGCAGCACGCCCCUGGCUGCCCGGCCGCCGGGGAGGGGCAGGGCCAGGGCCAGGGCCGGCGGGCGGAGAGCCUUCAGCCGCGGGCGGCCCGGCGGUACCAUGGCUGAGGAGGCCAAGAGGCUGGCAGCCUGCGCGGCGGUGGACAAGCACGUCCAGAACAACCAAGUUCUUGGCAUCGGAAGUGGUUCUACGAUUGUCCACGCAGUGCAUCGAUUAGCUGAGAGGGUUAAACAAGAGAACCUGUCAAUUGUCUGCAUCCCUACGUCUUUCCAGGUGUAAAUGGCUGCCUGAGGUCACUGGCAAGGAAGAAUUGCUUUCAGUGGGCUUUUAUUCUUCUCCCUUCCCUGUUGUAAGGUUGGGUUAUUCCAUCACCAUCACUAAAGCUAGUGUCAGGCUUGAACAUCCAUUUAAGAAGCCAAUGAAUGGACGUAAAGGAGCGUAACGCCAGGUGCUUUGUGUUUUGUUGCCACUAGAGGGAGCGUAACUCACAGCUGCUUUGAAAUAAAUAUAGAUCACACCAAAGAGCUGUUUCAGGAGGUGUCCCACACUUUUUCUCCAAAGGAAAUCAGGAGGGACUCGAGAAUCCCAUACCUGCCUUCACGCUUAAAUGCAGGUGUCUCCCACCAGGCUGAUAGCCCCAUGCUAUUCAGUAUGGAGAGACCUGGAUGCAGCCCCAUCCCUUUGCAUCUAAGCAUUUCAGUUCAAAUCAGCAUUAUUUUGAUGAAAAAAUUCUGGUCUGGAAGCAUCAUUUCCUCCAUGCCAUACCUUUCUGCUGCUGAUUGCAGCCUCUCAGCAAGCUCAGGAUGCAGCACUGCAGCCCCCAUCCAUGCGGCAGCGAGGAGAACAACACGACAAGUCUGAUUUCCUUUCCUGCUGCUGGUAAAUAGUGUUUGCUGUGUUCUUGGUGCACAGGCCCGUCAGCUGAUCCUGCAGAAUGGCUUAACACUAAGUGACCUGGACCGACAUCCAGAGCUUGAUGUUGCCAUUGAUGGAGCGGAUGAGGUGGAUUCUGAUCUUAACCUUAUCAAAGGAGGCGGUGGUUGCUUGACGCAGGAGAAAAUAGUUGCAGGAUAUGCAAAAUGCUUCAUCGUUAUUGCUGAUUACAGGAAAAAAUCAGAGAACCUCGGGGAGCAGUGGAAGAAGGGAAUCCCUAUUGAAGUCAUCCCCAUGGCUUACGUCCCUGUCACCAGAGCCCUGACCAAAAACUUCGGAGGUGCUGCAGAGCUGCGGAUGGCUGUUAGCAAAGCAGGCCCCGUGGUGACAGACAAUGGGAACUUCAUCCUGGACUGGAAGUUUGACAAGGUUCACGAGUGGAGCGAAGUGAACACUGCCAUAAAAAUGAUACCAGGCGUGGUGGAGACGGGGCUGUUCAUCGACAUGGCGGAGGUGGUGUACUUUGGCAUGGAGGACGGCUCGGUCAGUGUGCGGGAGAAGCAGCCUCGCUGAUGGUGGCAUUCUGCCCGCUCUGCUUUGCCUUCAGCCAGUUUGAUUCAGCUGUCGUAACGGUGCCAACCUGACGUUAUGCCUUAACGAGCAGCGGUUAUCACAGAAGGUGGGCGGGGAGUUGAUCAGAAUCCGCUGAUAUGAUACUGAAUGUCUUUUGUAGAAAAACAAAACAAAACAAAACAAAAAGAUUCUCUAUUUCCAGAUAUAUAUAUAUAUAUUUUUACUUUACAAGAACGUUGUUCUUUUUUUAAAGAAUCAGUUAAACGAAUUGCUUUAACAUUUUAAUUUUAUUUUCUAAGAAAUAUUUACCAAAAAAAAAAGAAAAAGAAAAAAGAAUACUUUUUGGAUUCUGUUGUUGUUUUUUGUUUUUCCUUUUAUUGAACUGAACUUGAACCCUCCUGGUCGCUCUUAGUGCUCAGUGAUUGAUGUUACUAUCCUAACACAUCAUCCUUAACUACCCUGGCUGGGAGGAUGAUGUACAUAACGGGAGUGCAUCCAGUUGGGACCUACUGAUGCCUUAUUUGGAACCUUUUUGGUUCAGUAUUUUAUGCCUUUUAUUUUUCUAUACCACUGUUUUUUAAUAGUUCAGGAUGUCUAGUUAAUCAUCUGUGCAUAUGACAAAUCUCUGAGCCUGGGGACAUUGUGGUCUCUGCAUCCCUGUGUCUGGGAUAUUAAUAGGGGCCUUUCUGGGGCCUCUGUGUGGAAGAGAUGUUCAUCCUUUGAGCCAAAUUCUGUUCUACAACUGCAUUAAUCUAGUACCUCUGAUUAAAGUCUGUUCCAGUAGCUGGAGAUGUUCAGGAUUUCAUCCUUGUAUAAUGAGAGCAGAACUGGGCACUUGAUGAAGUUUACAAAAGCACAUUUGAGCAUUUUAGGGCAGUGUUCAGUGGCAAAUUAUUUGGUUUGGAAUGAAGGUUAAUUAUCACCUCUCGCAGCUGUUUGAUUUGUAGAAGGAUAGAGUGGAAUGCAAAGGAAAACCGAGUCUUCCUGCCUGAAUUUACCAUAUGUAGCAGGAGAGAGACACUCGUUCAAUAUAUUGUUCUCUGUGUAUAGGUGCUUUGCAUGAUUCUCGUGUCAAAAUGCAAGCCCUCUUUUUGUGUUAUAUACAUUGAAAUAAAGAGCUGUCAUAAC